rnacentral:rRNA from 1 species
GGCCUAAUGGUUGUAAACCUCUUUUCUCUAGGAAGAUGAUGACGGUACUAGAGGAAUAAGCCUCGGCUAACUCCGUGCCAGCAGCCGCGGUAAUACGGAGGAGGCAAGCGUUAUCCGGAAUUAUUGGGCGUAAAGCGUCCGUAGGUGGUUAGCCAAGUCUGUUGUUAAAGCGUGCAGCUUAACUGCAUAAGGGCAGUGGAAACUGGGUAACUUGAGUGCGGUAGGGGUAGAGGGAAUUCCCAGUGUAGCGGUGAAAUGCGUAGAUAUUGGGAAGAACACCGGUGGCGAAGGCGCUCUACUGGGCCUGCACUGACACUGAGGGACGAAAGCUAGGGGAGCGAAUGGGAUUAGAUACCCCAGUAGU